AAGUCCGUAAGCAAGGUUUCCGUAAGGUGAACCUGCGGAAGGAUCAUUAAAGAGUUGCCGGGUGGAAGGCCCUUCGGGUAGUACGCCGCUCUUCACCCGUGCCUAUAUACUAUGUUGCUUUCCGGGCUUACCCCCGGAGAGAACCAAACUCUUGAAUUUAUUACUGUCUGAGUACUAUAUAAUAGUUUAAAAA
rnacentral:misc_RNA from 1 species